GUGAGGUAAAAACAUUGAACUGAGUAAACGGUCGGUGUCAAGCGUUGUUUUUGGACUAACUAAUCUUUUUUUUUUCUUUUUUCUGCGGUUCUGAUGAACUUCUCCAUCAAACUGGAAUAUGAGUGUUUUGUGUAAUAGAGGCAAACCUAACGCCAUUAUUACACGGAGCAGGUGAGUUGGUGUGUGGAGUUGAAGCUGCUUCCUGGUUUCUGAUAAGACAAAGUAGAAGCCAUUUUGUUUUUCAUUCGCCACUUAUAUAACUAUAGAAUGACGUUCGGUGUACACUGUGUAUACAUAUACUGUACUCACGUAUUUUUCCACAAUAUCAUAUGUGCUAGAAACAAAAUACCUUUGUACCCAAAAUAGCCAAUAACAGCGCAAAUCUCAAGUACACUACUCUCAAAUUGUUUUAUUUUAAACAAUUAUAGAAACUGAACAAUUGUCGUCCGGCACAAUCGGGGAAAGGCGAUGUGGAACUAAAAGAAAGGAAAGUCGGUUUGCUGAAAAGCUGCAAACAACGUCCACAGGUCUGCUAAGGUGUAUGUAUUUGAUUAAAUUGGGGAGGUGCAGCUAAAUCAAAAGCCGAGAAAAGGAGAAAACGAAACGUUUUUUCGUUUUCAAAAAGCAAAUGGCAUUUUCAUUUUGAUAUGUCUCGCCUCCUUAGGCCGCGCAUGUGGCGUCUAAUGCGCUACCACUGACCGUCGGGGUGCGCUCCAUUAAACAAACACGCAAUGUAUAUUCCUCCAGUAUUAAUGUCCUCAGUAAAGGCUGCCAUUCAAAAAGCCAGAAGCCCCAGUUUAGAUGAACUAAUCCGAUUUCUUCUCGCAGCGAAAGGGGAAAAACUGCGAGCCGUGUCAAUGGGCAAGACACAGAGUUAUGAGCCUCACCUGAAGACGUUACCCGCGAAUGAGAAGCGAAGCGGGCUACUGCGUAUGCACAGAGGGUGUGUCUGUGCUCAAAAUGCAUCGCACGACCUCAGGAGCGGAGUGAGAUAUAAUCAACACAAGAGAAGCGGAU